rnacentral:rRNA from 1 species
CCCUUCAGAGGGGGACAACAGUUGGAAACGACUGCUAAUACCGCAUACGAUCUAAUCUCGGCGUCGAGGAUAGAUGAAAGGUGGCCUCUACAUGUAAGCUAUCACUGAAGGAGGGGAUUGCGUCUGAUUAGCUAGUUGGAGGGGUAACGGCCCACCAAGGCGAUGAUCAGUAGCCGGUCUGAGAGGAUGAACGGCCACAUUGGGACUGAGACACGGCCCAG